rnacentral:rRNA from 1 species
CAGUAGCCGCGGGAAUACGGAGGGGGCUAGCGUUGUUCGGAAUCACUGGGCGUAAAGCGCACGUAGGCGGCUUUGCAAGUCAGAGGUGAAAGCCCGGGGCUCAACCCCGGAUGUGCCUUUGAGACUGUGAGGCUUGAACGUCGGAGAGGUGAGUGGAAUUCCGAGUGUAGAGGUGAAAUUCGUAGAUAUUCGGAAGAACACCAGUGGCGAAGGCGGCUCACUGGACGACUGUUGACGCUGAGGUGCGAAAGCGUGGGGAGCAAACAGGAUUAGAUACCCGAGUAGUCCCUGUCUCUUAUAA